rnacentral:tRNA from 1 species
GGGGCUGUAGCUCAGUGGUAGAGCGUUCAUCUAGCAUGUGUGAGGCACGGGGUUCGAGUCUCAGCACCA